UACGUAGGUGGCAAGCGUUGUCCGGAAUUAUUGGGCGUAAAGCGCGCGCAGGCGGUCCUUUAAGUCUGAUGUGAAAGCCCACGGCUCAACCGUGGAGGGUCAUUGGAAACUGGGGGACUUGAGUACAGAAGAGGAAAGCGGAAUUCCACGUGUAGCGGUGAAAUGCGUAGAUAUGUGGAGGAACACCAGUGGCGAAGGCGAGUCCCUGGAAAACUCCUGACACUGAGGCACGAAAGCUAGGGGAGCAAACAGG
rnacentral:rRNA from 1 species